UAAGUGACAAAAGCAAAUUUCGUCGCUAUAAAGCGUCGAGAAUACAAGCACAUGUCACGCACGUGAAUGCAAUUAAUGCCUCGUGACUCAGCCCACAUUUUCAAUUUAAGGGGAAAAAAUUAAACCAAUAAAAAAAAUUCUGACUACUCAAGUUCUCAACCCUAACUUUUCAUCUCUCUUUCCUUCCUUCGUGACAUUCAUAGAUUUUAAAAUCUUAAUCCAGAUCUUAACUCUCCCUGUAAUUCCCCUAAUUAUUGCUGGGGAAAUUUCUCUACUCACUUUGAACUGUAAUCAAAUUUGUCAUUCUCUAUGCCGCCGUGAAUUCUAAGGUGUAUGAGUCAGACUUGACUGAACUAUUUACCUGGACUUGCUCAAGAUGUAAUGGAAUGACAAAGGGAUUUGAAAUCAGAUGUCCAGCAUUGCUUGCAGGCAUAUGUUGGGGUUGCUAAGGAUCUGAAUGCUAUUAUUGUUACAUUUAGAGGAACCCAGGAACACAGGUUACAAUUUUUUUUUAUUUAUUCAGAACUUUUUCUUUUUGAAAUUGAUACUUUUAAGGUUGGUUAUUAGUCUUAUUACGUAGAAAGUUAUAAUGUUUAGCUAAAUUGUUGGUUAUAAGUAGACCUGUUCAAUGGGUUAGGGGCCCAUUUAAAGCCCUAGUCCAGCCCUUUUAUAAAAGAGUUUUACCCAUCCAACAUUUAAAUGGGGUGGGCUUUUAAAGGGCUAUUAAAUAAUGGGUUUUUAAAGGUUUGGGUCUAAGUUAAAAAUGGCUGAAAUUGGGUAACACUUAAGAAGCUUUUUGUAUCCUAAUUUUUCUGUAUGUUUCUAAAACUUCCUAACGUCAAUUUUAAAAUUCCCUAUUUCCCCCAAAUUAUGAACCCUAAAAAAAUUCCCAGAUUAUAAUCUUCCAAAAUUCCCAAAUUAUAGCUAAUAAAUUCCUUCUUCUUGCUCGCCGCUCUUAAUCUUCAACUACCAAGGUAUGUUUUCGUGUAUUAAUUUCUAAAUUCGUUUGUUUUUAUGCCAAUUUAUGUAUUCUUGCUCGCCGCUCUCAAUAAUGUACGAAUCUAUUGAUUUUGUGCUUGAAUUUUAAAUUAUAUAAUAUUUUUUGAAGUUUGAAUGCUAAUUGAUCAUCAUCUACUCGAUUUAGUGCUUUAUUAGGUUGAUUAUGUUUUAAUCUGUUGAGUCAUCAUUCAAUUCUUUGAUGUUUUAUAUUAUUAGUUAUAUUAAGUACGUUUGUUGGUUACUUUUACAAGUUAUCAAUUGUAAUAAUUUAGUACCAUCGAUUAAUAAAGAUUGUUGCUUAUUAUUAUUGGCUUCUUUCAAUCUGACUGUAUCUAAUUAUGUGAUAAAUUGUUCUUUUGUCUAAAUCUAUUUGUUCCAAAUUUGAUUUGUGUUUUAAAUGACCUAGCACAAAAUGUAUGCAUUGAACUGCUGAAUGCGUUUGUAAGGCUAUCAUUAUCUUGUAAGACAUUAGUUUUUUCUGACUCGAAAGCAGGGAAAUUACUGUUUUCUCAUCAAAUUAAACGAAUUCCAACUUGAUUUAGCCAGACCAUUCAAUGAUUAAUCGAAUAACAUCAAACUUUUACCUACUUUUGCGUUUGUAAGGCCCUUUAUAAUUGUGUCUACUUUAUGGUUGUUUUGGAUAGUUUAUACAUUUUAAAUGGGCCUGGCCGGGCUUAAUGGCCCAUGGACAAUAUUGGCCCAUUUUGGAUUAGGCUUGGCCCGGCCUGACCCAUUUUAGAUAAAGCCCUGUCCGGCCCGACCCAUUUUAGAUAAAGCCCUGUCCGGCCCGACCCGUUGAACAGGUUUAGUUAUAAGAAAGCUUUACAUAUUUGCAAUAUUAUAUAGAAACUAACAUAUCUUAAUACAAAAUUCUCUUUGGAAAAAUGUAUAUAAGAAUUCUAUCAUAUGCUUCCCACGAGUUUAGGCUAGUCCCCAGCCUUUGAAUUUAGGUUUAGACAAACCUGGGAUUGCCCAAGUUGUGUGAACUUAGUAUAGCUUGUUACCAACUGUUAGACAUUAAACAAGGCUUGUGACAGUUUUAUGGUGCAUAACUAGGUAAGUAAUGUUGGCUAUUCCACAAGGUUACAUUUUUAUAGUGAUCGUGGUGGUUCCAAGGUCCAACAUCAUCCUGUUCUAAAGUCCCUCUUUCUUUGAUAAGGAACUCUGAUUUUCAAAAAUACCUGCUCCACUUUAUCAGUCAUAAACAAAAAAAAAAAUGAUGCUUGGUCAACUUGUACAUCUCUUUGCAUACUCUUUUGUUAAGUUAAGAACUGAGUUGAAGACUACUAUUAUCAACUAUGAAAUGAGAGGAUUACUCCAUGCAUGCUCGAUCAGUGAUUUAGUGGCUUAUAAAUUUUUUUUGUUCAUGAGUUGAUAUUUAUUUAGAUAGUAAUUAAAAAUUCCCGUGUAAGAACCAAUACAUGAAAUGGGUCUUGCUAGCUUUUUGCAAUAUGACACACCUUUGUGUAAUCAAAGAGAUUUUUCAUAUUUGUAAGAGAAAGUUAGUGUAGGGAAUAUUUCAAGCGUUAACCCUUAGCUCGAACCCCACUGUGAUCAUACACUAAAGUACGGUGGCGUC